GGUUGAUCCUGCCAGUUGUCAUAUGCUUGUUUCAAGGACUAAGCCAUGCAAAUGUCAGAGUACUUGUACUUCGGUACAGGGGGGUCUGUGUACGGCUCAUUAAACGGUUUAUGAUCUACCCAACGAAGGAAGGACUUGUGCCUUUCCAACGGGAUAACUGCGCUAACCGCGCGGCUAAUACCUGGGAGAAGAUUCCGCGAUCACUCCACCAUAAGUUUUGGGUGACUGAGACUUAUGGGAUCUCGGAAGCUGUUGGCCGAAACAAAGAUUGACGUCUUCGGACAGUUUCAAUU
rnacentral:rRNA from 1 species